rnacentral:rRNA from 1 species
AUUGAACGCUGGCGGCAGGCUUAACACAUGCAAGUCGAGCGAGCGGCGGACGGGUGAGUAAUGUCUGGGAACCUGCCUGCUGGAGGGGGAUAACUACUGGAAACGGUAGCUAAUACCGCAUACCAUCAGAUGUGCCCCGAUGGGAUUAGCUAGUAGGUGGGGUAAUGGCUCACCUAGGCGACGAUCCCUAGCUGGUCUGAGAGGAUGACGAGCCACACUGGAACGGAGACACGGUCCAGAGUCCUACGGGAGGCAGCAGUGGGGAAGAGUGCACAAUGGGGGAAAGCCUGAUGCAGCCAUGCCGCGUGUGUGAAGAAGGCCUUAGGGUUGUAAAGCAGUUUCAGCGAGGAGGCGUUACGCGCAGAAGAAGCACCGGCUAACUCCGUGCCAGCAGCCGCGGUAAUAC